CCUGUGAUGCUUUUUAAAGUGGCUAAUUGCAAAUAAUCAAGCGACGACGCGGCCCACCGCGGUUGCGGCAGCGGUGUAGGCGAGCGACGCAGAGGAGCGGUCAACACCGGCGUCGAGGGCAAGGUAGGCCGGGCGCAGUGUCCUCCGGCGUGUGGUGGCGCAUUGGACGGCGCAGGAGGCUGGGCGCGUCGAUUCGGGUGAGGGGAGUGGGGUCCAGAUCUGGUCGAGGACGGGGCAACCGGCGGCGGCGGCGUGGCUGACGCUGGACGGAGAGAGAGGCAGAGCAAGGCACGCCGAAUCGCUGGAUGGCGCACCUCCCCUAGCCUCCUUCCUCUCCCGGUCGUUGGGGAAGCAGGACGGCCACCUCUGCUGGACGCCCUUCCCUGGUCGACGACGAGCGUUGUGGGCUGACACGGUGGCGCCCUUCCGUUGUGGAGUACCGUACUAGGACGACGGCAGUUAAGGUCAACACCCUGCUCGACGCCCCCAUCUGCUGCUCGAUGCGCCCAUCCCCUUGCUGGUUGAGCUCAACGCCACCUUGCUCUGCCUCCGGCAGUCAUCUCAUCCAAUCUGGCUAGUCCGCUCCCCACCUCGGCGGCUCCUUCAGUCCGGCAGCACACCACGCUCAAGCCUCCACCACCCCAACUCCUCAAGUUACAGUAGACAAGGAGCUCCGCUCUACCUCUCAUCUCUCUCCCUGUCCUGGUGGUCACGGGCUGAUGUUGCUGCUCCUCUCCUUCAGGAUCUAUCUCUUUCUCUUUGUCUCUCACCCUCUCAUGGAUUGACAACUGCAUUCUUCCCAAAUUAAUGUGUGCCUCUGUUCUUGAUAUUACGCCCACACCAUGUUUGAUGUUAUGCUUAUGAGGAGUUGAACUUCAUUUUUUUUCAGGCUUUUCUUUGGUGUAUCAGGCAUUCAGGCUGGUGUAAUUUGUUUUCAAAAGUGAACAUGUUGUACAGUCCAAUGUAUCUACAAAAAUUAAGUUAUGAACUACAAAACUAUUAGCAGCUUUUAAUUAUGUGUACUUAAAAUGGAUUUGGUGUCCAGGACAUGUGGAGUUGAGAUCAGGUUGAAUUAUGUGCUGAUGUUCUUCGAUAGUAUAAUUGUUCUUCUCCUUUAACAUGAUGCACCAUUGACUUAUUUUUUUAGAUGCUCAAAUACACAGAGUAAUGACAUCCUGUAUGCGCUUGGACACCCAGCAGAUUGAAAAUAUAGAAGCAAAGAUAUCCAAUAUGAGGCCACGAUGCCCGACAGAGAUGCAGCCAAUACGUGCCCAAUCUUUAUUUCUUGAUGUUGGAACAACAAAUAAGAGCAUGUUCAUGUUUACUUAUUAUGUUUUUUUCGAGAAAUUUUGGGGAUUUACAAGCUGAAAUUAUUGACUGUCUGAAAAAAUGUUUUAACCAAAACUGUUUGAACAAUGUGCCCUGGUUCUGCAUUCAUGGAAUUGUAAAAAUAUUGAACAAGUUCAGUCGGAGUUUUGUUCCUGUUAAUAUUCCAUUCUUAGUGUCAGUUUCUUUCCACUUGCUCAUCUUUUAAUGUUGAACUAUACAUGUACUUAUUAUUAAAGUUUUGUUGUCUUCCUAAACUAAUUAGAUUUUUUAAGCACUACUGAACUAAUUGGAUGCCAUCUUAAAUUACCUUCCCUUUGACAUUAUUGUACAGAUUCCUGAAACACUGUCCAGAAUUCCACUGCUACAGAAUUGAAAUUCGAUUAGCACAUGGUAAACCAGCUUUGAUUCAGCAGGGUUAUCAGCUUAGAUUCGACUAUUUUUAGUUCCUACAAGAGCAAAUGAUACGCUUAUGUCAGUAGUUUUUAGAUAUAUUCACUGGCUUCAGAUUCUGCUGAUGGAUUUUUAUGCUCUGUUCUGCUUCUAGAGCUUGUGAAUGAUGUUCAUUGUUGUUUGAAAGAUGCACUUUUUUAUGCCUAUAUGUAAACGAUGCAAUUACUGGCUGAGAGAUACACUUAUUGGUGCUGUUCUGAAAUGAUGUUCAUUACUGUUCUACAGAUGCAGUAGACUGAUGUUUAUUGUUGUUUUGUUAUUGUACAGAACGAGGAUGGAUCCAAGGUUGAGUACUGGGUGUGGAACCCCUUCAGAUCCAAGUUGGCUGCUGUUGUACUCUGUGGUGUGGACAACAUCUGGAUUGUAUGUCUUUUUUGAUGAUUCCUUCCGGCGCCCUGUCAUACUCAUUGCUCUUCAGUUAACGAAAUGAAUGCACAGCAGCAACACAAGCAGUAGCAGAAUGGGGUAUAAUGAAUGUUCUGUUUGAGUCUGACUGUCAAACGCUGGUUCGUGUUUCUAGAUUUUCUAGCUAAGGGCUGGUUUUGUUUAGCUGGAACACAAAUCACGAUCAGAUGUACCUAUUAUGACGAUUUCGGAUCCGUGCUAACUAUUUCUAAUUUUGAAAUUAUUCCUCAGAACACAUGAUUACAUUACA